CUGCACCGUAGGAGUCGGUCGAGUUCCGCGACGGACGACCUUGAUUUCAACAGACGUGGCUGUACGACGCAUUUGUUUCCCGUCCGAAGGACGCAGCAACCGGUUGGGAGUCGGCCUGAAGGUCGGACGAACGGAAGGUGGCCGGCGCAUCCCUCGGGGUGACGUCGGUGUUAUAUCCAGUCCGGCGAUGGCUCGAAACCCGACCGUGGUGUCGCCAAGUCCCUUGUGGACUUCCAGCGUGACCCUCGCGGCAGAAUKRCGCGGCAAAGGGUCUUCAGURGACUGCUUGCGCAYGGAACAACUCCGUGGCUUGCGGGCUGGWGUCCUUGUUGGCCGCGACUCUGCAAGGAGGUUAGCUGCGAGUAGAUCGGUCACCCACCCGACCCGUCUUGAAACACGGACCAAGGAGUCUAACAUGUCUGCGAGUCAAUGGGUCUUGAUUAGGCCCAGAGGCGCAAUGAAAGCAAAGGUCGGACGARACGCCGACUGAGUUGGGAUCCCUCCGCCCUAGAGCGAGGGGCGCACCAACGACCCRUCCUAUCCGAUUCAUCGGUUGGGCGGAGUUUGAGCAUACACGUUGGGACCCGAAAGAUGGUGACCUAUGCCCGGGCAGGAUGACGCCAGAGGAAACUCUGGUGGAGGUCCGCAGCGGUUCUGACGUGCAAAUCGA
rnacentral:rRNA from 1 species